rnacentral:rRNA from 1 species
UACGUAGGGGGCGAGCGUUGUCCGGAUUUAUUGGGCGUAAAGAGCGUGUAGGCGGCCAGGUAGGUCUGCUGUGAAAACUCGAGGCUCAACCUCGAGACGUCGGCGGAAACCAUCUGGCUAGAGUCCGGAAGAGGAGAGUGGAAUUCCUGGUGUAGCGGUGAAAUGCGCAGAUAUCAGGAAGAACACCGAUGGCGAAGGCAGCUCUCUGGGACGGUACUGACGCUGAGGCGCGAAAGCGUGGGGAGCGAACAGG